UACGUAGGGGGCAAGCGUUAUCCGGAAUUAUUGGGCGUAAAGAGCUCGUAGGCGGUUUGUCGCGUCUGCCGUGAAAGUCCGGGGCUCAACUCCGGAUCUGCGGUGGGUACGGGCAGACUAGAGUGAUGUAGGGGAGACUGGAAUUCCUGGUGUAGCGGUGAAAUGCGCAGAUAUCAGGAGGAACACCGGUGGCGAAGGCGGCAUCCUGGACCAACACUGACGCUGAGGAGCGAAAGCCAGGGGAGCAAACGGG
rnacentral:rRNA from 1 species